rnacentral:rRNA from 1 species
AUUGAACGCUGGCGGCAGGCCUAACACAUGCAAGUCGAGCGGAUGAAGGGAGCUUGCUCCUGGAUUCAGCGGCGGACGGGUGAGUAAUGCCUAGGAAUCUGCCUGGUAGUGGGGGAUAACGUCCUGAAACGGGCGCUAAUACCGCAUACGUCCUGAGGGAGAAAGUGGGUGAUCUUCGGACCUCACGCUAUCAUGUGAGCCUAGGCCGGAUUAGCUAGUUGGUGGGGUAAAGGCCUACCAAGGCGACGAUCCGUAACUGGUCUGAGAGGAUGAUCAGUCACACUGGAACUGAGACACGGUCCAGACUCCUACGGGAGGCAGCAGUGGGGAAUAUUGGACAAUGGGCGAAAGCCUGAUCCAGCCAUGCCGAGUGUGUGAAGAAGGUCUUCGGAUUGUAAAGCACUUUAAGUUGGGAGGAAGGGCAGUAAGUUAAUACCUUGCUGUUUUGACGUUACCAACAGAAUAAGCACCGGCUAACUUCGUG